ensembl:lncRNA
CGGGAUCUUCCACGUUUUCAAGGAUAAAACUCAGCAAAAAAAGGGAAAGAAUCCCCCCAAACCCUUCCCGAAUGAUUCCUCCCCCAAUUCCAUGGGAUUUUGGGAUUUUUUUAAUUUUUAAUUGGAUUCAAACACACCAAACUCACAGGAAGGGCUGGGGGGGGAGGGGGGGUCACUCCUCCCUGGCUGGAUUUGGGAAUUCUGGGAUUCGGGAAUUCUGGGAUUCGGGAACAGGGACCAGCCCAGGGGGAGGAGCAGCCCCCAAAAAAAAGAGGGAAAAGGAUGAGCCUGGAUGAAUCCCAUGGGAUUUUUGGGAAGCACGGUGGCACCUCCAGGCUGAUUGCUGGGAAGGGAUUUAAUUCCCAAAGGAAGGGGGGAAAAGCCGGGAUUGGCAUUCCCGAGGAUUCCGGCGUUCCCGAGGGAGCUCAGCAUUCCCACAGGGAACGUCACUCCCCCUUCCCAAGGCUCCCGAGCCCGGGAAAGAGGAAAAAGGGAUGGGAAAAGCAGGAAUUUCCCUUCUCCGGGUGGAUCUGGGGCUCCAGCAUCCCUGGGGACACCGGGAAUGUCACCUGUCCCCCUCAGGAAAAGCGGGAAUGGCGCUGGGGAGCGGCUCCCCCGCUUCCUUCCUGAGGGAUUUUCACUCUUCCCGACCCUGCUGCUCCCAAAAUCCCGAGGCUGGAGCGGCGAUCCCGCUCUGGAAUCUUCUGGGAGCGUUUUCCGAGCGGAAUUCCAAGGAGGGAGUGGCAGGGACAGCCUGGGAGCGGCUUUUUCCAGGGAAUGUCACCUGGAGCCGCCUGGCACUGCUGUCCCCUCUCCCCCGGCCCCAGGAGAGGCUUUUCCUGCUCCUCCCCGAGCGGAUUUUUCCCUCUUCCCAAUCCCAAAGGGACAAGGAUGGCCCCGAUCCCAAAGGGAAUGGCAGCAGGGAUUUCAGGGAUAGCCCGAUCCCAAAGGGAAUGGGAACAGGGAGAUCCCAAUCCCAAGAAAAACAGGAGCAGGGAUUUCCAGGGAUAUCCCAAUCCCAAAGGAAAUAGGAGCAGGGAUAUCCCAAUCCCAAAGGAAAUGGCACCAGGGAGAUCCCAAUCCCAAAGGAUUCCAGGGAUAGCCCAGUCCCAAGGGAUUCCAGGGAUACCUCAACCCCAAGGAAUUCCAGGGAUCUCCCAAUCCCAAGGGAUUCCAGGGAUAUCCCAAAGGAUUUCAGGGAUACCCCAAUCCCAAGGAAUUCAAGGGAUAUCCCAAAGGAUUCCAGGAAUAUCCCAAGGAAUUCCAGGGAUAUCCCAAGGAAUUCCAGGGAUAUCCCAAGUGAUUCCAGGGAUCUCCCAAUCCCAAAGGAAACGGCACCAGGGGUACCCGAGGGAGAUCCUGCUCUGGAAUCAUUUCGGGAUCACGCUCCGGGGGCGUUUCCCACGCGGCGGCUCCGGAAUUCCAGGGAGGGAACACCAAGGAGCUGCUGGGAGCUGCUGGGAGCUGCUGGGAGCUGCUUUUUCCAGGGAAUUUGGGGAAGGAGAAGGCGCCAUCAGUCCGACCUCGAGAAAUCCACGGAGACAGAAAAAGAGAGAGAGAGAGAGAGAGAGGGAGAGGAAAAAGAAGCGAAUCCCGCGUGGAGAAUUUUCCAGGGAGGAUUUUCCAGGGAGGAUUUUCCCGGGAGAAUUUUCCAGGGAGGAUUUUCCCGGGAGGAUUUUCCCGGGAGGGUUUUCCCAGGAGGGUUUUCCAGGGAGGAUUUUCCAGGGAGGGUUUCCCCGGGAGGGUUUUCCAGGGAGGAUUUUCCAAGGAGAAUUUUCCCAGGAGGAUUUUCCCAGAAGGAUUUUCCCGGGAGAAUUUUCCAGGGAGGAUUUUCCAGGGAGGGUUUUCCAGGGAGGAUUUUCCCGGGAGGAUUUUCCUGGGAGGAUUUUCCCGGGAGGAUUUUCCCGGGAGAAUUUUCCUGGAAGGAUUUUCCCAGGAGGAUUUUCCAGGGACGAUUUUCCCGGGAGGAUUUUCCCGGGAGGAUUUUCCUGGGAGGAUUUUCCUGGGAGGAUUUUCCCGGGAGGAUUUUCCUGGGAGGAUUUUCCUGGGAGGAUUUUCCCGGGAGGAUUUUCCUGGGAGGAUUUUCCAGGGAGGA